GACGAACGCUGGCGGCACGCUUAACACAUGCAAGUCGAACGAGGUUCAUGGAGCUUGCUCCAGAAGACCUAGUGGCGAACGGGUGCGUAACACGUGAGAAACCUGCCCUGAACUUGGGAAUAACAGUCGGAAACGACUGCUAAUACCGAAUAUCUUCACGACGUCGCAUGGCGAUGUGAAGAAAGCUUUUGCGGUUCAGGAGGGUCUCGCGGCCUAUCAGCUUGUUGGUGAGGUAACGGCUCACCAAGGCAUCGACGGGUAGCUGGUCUGAGAGGAUGAUCAGCCACACUGGGACUGAGACACGGCCCAGACUCCUACGGGAGGCAGCAGUGGGGAAUAUUGCACAAUGGGCGCAAGCCUGAUGCAGCGAUGCCGCGUGCGGGAUGAAGGCC
rnacentral:rRNA from 1 species